UACGGAGGGUGCGAGCGUUGUCCGGAAUCACUGGGCGUAAAGGGCGCGUAGGCGGCCGUGUAAGUCACUUGUGAAAUCCCGGGGCUCAACUCCGGGGCUGCAGGUGAGACUGCAUGGCUAGAGCUUGGUAGAGGCGAGUGGAAUUCCCGGUGUAGCGGUGGAAUGCGUAGAUAUCGGGAAGACACCGGUGCGAAGGCGGCUCGCUGGGCCAAUGCUGACGCUGAGGCGCGAAAGCCGUGGGGAGCAACAGG
rnacentral:rRNA from 1 species